rnacentral:rRNA from 1 species
GACGAACGCUGGCGGCGUGCUUAACACAUGCAAGUCGAACGAUGAAGCGGGUGCUUGCACUCGUGGAUUAGUGGCGAACGGGCGAGUAACACGUGAGUAACCUGUCCUUUUCUUUGGGAUAACGGCUGGAAACGGCUGCUAAUACUGGAUAUUCAGGCUGCAUCGCAUGGUGUGGUUUGGAAAGGUUUUUUCUGGGAUUGGGUGGGCUCGCGGCCUAUCAGCUUGUUGGUGGGGUGAUGGCUUACCAAGGCUUUGACGGGUAGCCGGCCUGAGAGGGUGGUCGGGCGCACUGGGACUGAGAUACGGCCCAGACUCCUACGGGAGGCAGCAGUGGGGAAUAUUGCACAAUGGACGAAAGUUUGAUGCAGCGACGCCGCGUGGAGGGUGUAGGCCUUCGGGUUGUGAACUCCUUUUUCUCGCGAAAAAGGCACAGUUUUGGCUGUGUUGAUGGUAGUGGGGGAAGAAGCGCCGGCUAACUACGUG